rnacentral:rRNA from 1 species
UAGGGAAUCUUCGGCAAUGGGGGCAACCCUGACCGAGCAACGCCGCGUGAGUGAAGAAGGUUUUCGGAUCGUAAAGCUCUGUUGUAAGAGAAGAACGUUUGUGAGAGUGGAAAGUUCACACAGUGACGGUAACUUACCAGAAAGGGACGGCUAACUACGUGCCNG